GAAAUGCGAUAAUUAAUGUGAAUUGCAGAAUUCAGUGAAUCAUCGAGUCUUUGAACGCACAUUGCGCCCCCUGGUAUUCCUGGGGGCAUGCCUGUCCGAGCGUCAUUGCUGCCCUCAAGCACGGCUUGUGUGUUGGGCUUCCGUCCCUGGCAACGGGGACGGGCCCAAAAGGCAGUGGCGGCACCAUGUCUGGUCCUCGAGCGUAUGGGGCUUUGUCACCCGCUCCCGUAGGUCCAGCUGGCAGCUAGCCUCGCAACCAAUCUUUUUAACCAGGUUGACCUCGGAUCAGGUAGGGAUACCCGCUGAACUUAAGC
rnacentral:misc_RNA from 1 species